rnacentral:lncRNA from 1 species
UUCAUAUAUAUAUCUAAUCAUUCUACCACUUUCGAAAUAUUUUUUUUAAGCAACGAAAUAAAAAUUUCUAAAAUGUUUUUCCACCACUGGAAAACUUGUUCGAUGUGGCGAACUUGUGUGCAAAUGUUAGAGAGUACGGAUUAAACACCAACAUUCUUAAAUGAUAAUUUAAGUCUCGCGAAGAAUUGUGAUUUUUUUGGACAACAAAUUAUGAUUGUUUUGAUGAAUAACUUUUCAUAUAAAUGAGGCAUAUAUACACACACAAGUUACCACACUUCGAAUGGUUUUAAACAUUGCUAUAUGAUGUAGCAUGUAUGUCGGGGAGUGAGCAAAAUACACAUCUUCCGACCAAUAACGACUGACAGGUGAGACAUAAUAACGUUAACCAACCUAUCCGACCCAGACAACAUAUGAUAAAAUCUCAAAGCUCCAAACAAUAUUAUUAAAGCAUUAUAUACUGCAUUAUAUUUUACAAAUAAAAAAUAAAAAAAGACUGCAUUAUAAUUUAUAAAAGGGCAAUUGUCAAUAAUAGCACCUUUUGAAAUUUAUGUCUCAAAAAUAGCACUAAAAGGAGAAAGUCACAAAAAUGACAUUCAUUAAAGGGUAAAAUAUCCCUAAUACUCUUGGUUUAAAAUUAAAUAAACAAAUAAAAAUAAAUAAAAUAAAAA